GUCACAACCAAUUAGUUGCACCUCCCCAGCUCCUAGAAGAUGAUGGAGAGCAGCUGUGCCUGCAAUGCCCAGUCCCUGGUUACCUGUUCAUCUGUCCCCACCAGCUCCUCUGGCUGCAAAAGGCAUAAAGUCCUGGGUUUUGCAUGAACACAAACUCAUCGUGAUCCUGCUCGGAGGCACACGGCAACACCAGGACUUGUCAGCGCCUUUCAGAGUCGAGUGCCUCACUACCAGGCUGGUAACAUAACAGUACCUCUCCUGGGGCCAAGCAACUAUUGCUGAGACAUCACAAGAUCUCAAGCCAGCAGGUGGUGCAGCAGAGGACUUGUGGUCCCAAAAGCACACCCUCAGAAGUGAAGGUCCAUCCCAGCCCAGGUUCAGAGGAGGGAGAAGGAACCAGAGCAGUGCCCAGCAAACCACACAGCACAAGGGAUCUGCAGGAGCUUUACAUGAAGUCGAACUUCACUUCCCUUGUCAGCCUGCUCUGAGUGACUCACUGAAGGUGCUGAACAGACUAACGAGUGGGAGGAGGAAACGGGCGGGGGGAGAGGAAGAAAGGGAGACAGGCAGUAAGAUGAAACUAGGAACAUUGAUAUAUAUGACCAAAAAAAAAAGAAGAGAGACUGUUUUUUUAGAAAGUUGCACUACUCCUUCCACUAGUCCUUUUCGAACUCUAAUGUGAAUGGCGUAGAAUCAAACAUCUCCGAGAUUUGAGGAAGAAAAAAAGAAGUAUGAAUAGCUAAAGUGAGAUGAUAUCACGUUUAACCUGAUAUUUAUGAUGAAACUCCAGGGGUUUUAUUUAUUCAGAUGUCACUUACUGUUCAUCCCAAGCGUAACAGAGGACAUGUUGGAAUUGCAAUCUUUAUUUAGGGUUUGUUAGCAUGAUUCAAUUUUUUACUGCCCUUUUGGGAGUUAUUUUUCAUCUUUAGGCAGAUAUCACUGCUAAGAGGAAAAGAGGUGGGGUUUUUUUUAUAUUAUUUUUUCUUUUUUCUUUUUUUUUUUCCCUAGCUCCUUGGGCAAGAUGGUUAUUAAGCAAAUGGGAAUUUGAGUUUUUGAAUUUGCUGGGGUGUGUGCUGGGCUGUCCCCUGACCUGUGAUAGGACAUACUGCAGUCUGGUUUUUUUAAAGGAUCAGAGCUAUAGGGCAGGAGUGACUCCUUUGGGCAUCUCUGCUUUGAAGAUACUGCAAAAAAGCAAGUAAUGCUUAACACCAAACCAGAAUUUUUACUGUUAUUGAAGACAGGGUAUUUUGCGUAGAGUACUGUGAUUGGCACAGCGUCUCUAAAGACCAAAAGUCAUGUAUAUUACUUUUCCUGGAGAGGCUCCCUGUAUCCUAACCUGCCCAUGUUCCUCUCAUCCUUUUCCUACCCCAUCCUACUUUAAGUCUCACCAGGAUCUCUUGAGAGCUGUUUCUUAUCAGAGCCUCUGAGUUUGCCAACCUCUGCAUUGGUGGUGUGACGUACACAAACAAAGAUUUCUCCGAGAUAAUUGUCUUCAUUCAGGGAGUAAUUUGAGAUUUAUAUCCUGAUGUCCAUAAAUAAAAGGCCACAAAGUCUAUGGCUGAGCA
rnacentral:lncRNA from 1 species